rnacentral:rRNA from 1 species
AGAUGGCAUCAUGAGUCCACAUGUUCACAUGAUUAAAGGUAUUCCGGUAGACGAUGGGGAUGCGUUCCAUUAGAUAGUAGGCGGGGUAACGGCCCACCUAGUCUUCGAUGGAUAGGGGUUCUGAGAGGAAGGUCCCCCACAUUGGAACUGAGACACGGUCCAAACUCCUACGGGAGGCAGCAGUGAGGAAUAUUGGUCAAUGGGCGAGAGCCUGAACCAGCCAAGUAGCGUGAAGGAUGACUGCCCUAUGGGUUGUAAACUUCUUUUAUAAAGGAAUAAAGUCGGGUAUGCAUACCCGUUUGCAUGUACUUUAUGAAUAAGGAUCGGCUAACUCCGUGCCAGCAGCCGCGGUAAUACGGAGGAUCCGAGCGUUAUCCGGAUUUAUUGGGUUUAAAGGGAGCGUAGAUGGAUGUUUAAGUCAGUUGUGAAAGUUUGCGGCUCAACCGUAAAAUUGCAGUUGAUACUGGAUAUCUUGAGUGCAGUUGAGGCAGGCGGAAUUCGUGGUGUAGCGGUGAAAUGCUUAGAUAUCACGAAGAACUCCGAUUGC